rnacentral:rRNA from 1 species
AGAAUCAACGCUGGCGGCGUGCCUAACACAUGCAAGUCGAACGCGAAAACCCCGCAAGGGGUUAGUAGAGUGACAAACGGGUGAGUAACACGUGGGUGACCUGCCUUCGAGUGGGGGAUAACGUCCCGAAAGGGACGCUAAUACCGCAUGACAUCCUGCUUUUGGAAAAGCGGAGAUCAAAGCUGGGGAUUCGCAAGAACCUGGCGCUUGAAGAGGGGCCCGCGCCUGAUUAGCUAGUUGGUAGGUAACGCCUACCAAGGCGACGAUCAGUA